rnacentral:rRNA from 1 species
CGUAGGGAGCAUCUGGCUCUUUGUGGCGCAGCUAACGCGAUAAGUUGACCGCCUGGGGAGUACGGCCGCAAGGCUAAAACUCAAAUGAAUUGACGGGGGCCCGCACAAGCGGUGGAGCAUGUGGUUUAAUUCGAUGCAACGCGAAAAACCUUACCUGCCCUUGACAUGUCAGGAAUCUUUCAGAGAUGAGAGAGUGCCUUCGGGAACCUGAACACAGGUGCUGCAUGGCUGUCGUCAGCUCGUGUCGUGAGAUGUUGGGUUAAGUCCCGUAACGAGCGCAACCCUUGUCCUUAGUUGCCAGCGGUUCGGCCGGGAACUCUAAGGAGACUGCCGGUGAUAAACCGGAGGAAGGUGGGGACGACGUCAAGUCAUCAUGGCCCUUAUGGGCAGGGCUACACACGUGCUACAAUGGCCAGUACAGAAGGUUGCCAACCCGCGAGGGGGAGCUAAUCCUGAAAAGCUGGUCGUAGUCCGGAUCGCAGUCUGCAACUCGACUGCGUGAAGUCGGAAUCGCUAGUAAUCGCGAAUCAGCAUGUCGCGGUGAAUACGUUCCCGGGCCUUGUACACUCCGCC